rnacentral:rRNA from 1 species
CCUACGGUGGGCAGCAGUGGGGGAUAUUGCACAAUGGGCGCAAGCCUGAUGCAGCGACGCCGCGUGAGCGAAGAAGUAUUUCGGUAUGUAAAGCUCUAUCAGCAGGGAAGAAAAUGACGGUACCUGACUAAGAAGCUCCGGCUAAAUACGUGCCAGCAGCCGCGGUAAUACGUAUGGAGCAAGCGUUAUCCGGAAUUACUGGGUGUAAAGGGAGCGUAGGCGGCAAGGCAAGUCUGAUGUGAAAACCCAGGGCCCAACCCUGGGACUGCAUUGGAAACUGUAUUGCUUGAGGACCGGAGAGGCAGGCGGAAUUCCUAGUGUCGCGGUGAAAUGCGUAGAUAUUAGGAGGAACACCAGUGGCGAAGGCGGCCUGCUGGACGGUAACUGACGCUGAGGCUCGAAAGCGUGGGGAGCAAACAGGAUUAGAUACCCCGGUAGUC